GUCUACAGCCAUGCUGUCCUCAACAAGUCCUAUCUCGGAAGUUAAGCAGGGUCAGGCCUGGUUAGUACUUGGAUGGGAGACCAGGUGCUGUAGGUG
rnacentral:rRNA from 1 species